CUUCUCUGCUGGAGUUAUGGCUGCUGCAGAAGCUCAGAAACCAGGGCAAUGCCUUGGGAAUCUGCAUUAGCCUCAUUCCUGGUGAGAGGACAGCAGGAUAGCUCUGCUUUGGCUGCCCUCACAGGGCUCCUGUGACUUCUCAGAAGCCCCACUCGGCUGCAUGGAGCUUAGGUUGUUCUGAGAAAUGUGGCUGAUACAAUAUAGUAAUCACUGGCCAAGACACUUGGUUGGCAUAGGCAAACUGAAGCUGUUGCAGAAGAAGAAAAGAAAUCUCAAAUUCAAGUAAAACAAAACCAUAAUUCUUGUCUACGCAUCAACUGGAUGAGCUUGGAACAGGACACAUUUGUAAGAAUGCAGAACUUGAGGAAGACAAUGGGGAACUGGCUGAGUAAUGCUGACAGAAUGAAAACUGCCAGAAUUCCAAAAGUUUCUUAAUAAUUUGUCUGCAACAUUUAUCUGUCCAAAAUCACCAGUCCACGGACAGAGCAAAGAGCCAUAUUUGUUGAACUGCAGUUCUCUCACCAUCCCAGGUCCCCUCCUUCAUACAGCUUAUCAUACUGAAGAGGAGGA